rnacentral:rRNA from 1 species
UACGUAGGGGGCUAGCGUUGUCCGGAAUCAUUGGGCGUAAAGCGCGUGUAGGCGGUCCGGUAAGUCCGCUGUGAAAGUCGGGGGCUCAACCCUCGGAUGCCGGUGGAUACUGUCGGGCUUGAGUACGGAAGAGGCGAGUGGAAUUCCUGGUGUAGCGAUGAAAUGCGCAGAUAUCAGGAGGAACACCAAUUGCGAAGGCAGCUCGCUGGGACGUUACUGACGCUGAGACGCGAAAGCGUGGGGAGCAAACAGG